AUACCCCUUACUCUUUGUGGGGUGGAAGGGACACAUAGAUUAGAUUGAUGGGGUUAUUCUCCCUACCGUUUUAUGUAAAUUUGCCAAAGAAAUAAGAUACCUGUUCUGACAAGAGUCAGGCAAGUCUAAAUAUUUCUUACAGACAGAGUUGACAAAAUUCAAAAGUAGUUUGGUUACAAGAGACUCAUUAAUUUCAAAUGGGCAUUUGAUUCCCAAAGGGAAGACAAACUUCAUCAGUUGGAGCAUUGUGAUGUCACAGAGGAACUUCAUUAGUGCACCACUUAGAAGGGAGCCAUGAGAGUAAGUAAAAUGAAAUGUAAAUAAAUGCCUAAUUAGGUGUCCAUGAAAAACUGAAGAGUCUCCAAAGUUGUUAGAGAUGACUGUACUUGGAAGGCAGCUUCUUAGACUAAGAAUCAGUGCUUUCAUAACCUUCACAGAGGAGGCUGGAAGAUUCCGCAGAGGUCUCCAGAAGACUGGUUAACUUGGAUGAAACCAUUGAAGACAAUCAGGAAGAUACAAUAGGGGAAAAUAUUCCAUGAGGACGCUUUGAUUUUUCUUUACAACACACCACUAAAUUACGUGAGUAGCCUUUCCAUCGUGGUGGAGAGGAAAUAUAAUUUCAAACUAAAGUUGAGCCCAGUUUCUGUUAAAUUAAAUAGCAAAGAAAAAAAAUAGUUCUUGGCUUUAUUCUUCUUAGAUGGGGAGCAGGGCAGUAGGGAAUUGACACAAGUCGGUCCUUGGUGAUUAACCUGCAGUUUACGGUUGUGUUUCCCGGUGACGUGCCCAUCACGCAGGAAGCUUCUCGGAGGCUGUGGAGAGCAGCCUGUCUGCUUUGAGAAGUGCAGAUCUAUCAGGAUCCAGAAUCGGGCUCUGAAAAAGCUGUCAUUUCAUGUCUCUAAAACAGCCUCUGAUUUAAUGUACAAGAUGUCAAGAAGUAAAGGACAAUAAAAUAAAAGCCAAAAAGGAGAACUAUUUCAAUUAAGAAGCAUUUCUAUAGCAAUUCUUGGAAAUCACGUAAAAUAAAAACUGUCAGAAUCAA